rnacentral:sRNA from 1 species
UUAUUUAUUAGAAUAUGCAGAAUAUACAUAGUUGUAUGUAUAUGUACAGUUGGCCGGAUUCACAAACAGUUGAACUAUUCUAAAUUUUAUGUUUUUGAAGUUGAACCUCAAAAACCAAUUCAUUUUUUUAGUUGGUCCCAUAAGUUUUAACAUAUUAAUGACUUU